rnacentral:rRNA from 1 species
UCAAUAAGCGGAGGAAAAGAAACUAACAAGGAUUCCCCUAGUAACUGCGAGUGAAGCGGGAAAAGCUCAAAUUUAAAAUCUGGCAGUCUUUGAUUGUCCGAGUUGUAAUCUAGAGAAGUGUUAUCCGCGCUGGACCGUGUACAAGUCUCCUGGAAUGGAGCGUCAUAGAGGGUGAGAAUCCCGUCUUUGACACGGACUACCAGUGCUUUGUGAUGCGCUCUCAAAGAGUCGAGUUGUUUGGGAAUGCAGCUCAAAAUGGGUGGUAAAUUCCAUCUAAAGCUAAAUAUUGGCGAGAGACCGAUAGCGAACAAGUACCGUGAGGGAAAGAUGAAAAGAACUUUGGAAAGAGAGUUAAACAGUACGUGAAAUUGCUGAAAGGGAAACGCUUAAAGUCAGUCGCAUUGUCUGAGAAUCAACCUUGCUUUUGCUGGGUGUACUUUUCAGAUAAUGGGUCAACAUCAAUUUUGACCGUUGGAUAAAGUCUAAGGGAAUGUGGCAUCUUCGGAUGUGUUAUAGCUUUUAGUCGCAUACAACGGUUGGGAUUGAGGAACUCAGCACGCCGCAAGGCCGGGUACUUGUACCACGUUCGUGCUUAGGAUGUUGGCAUAAUGGCUUUAAUCGACCCGUCUUGAAACACGGACCAAGGAGUCUAACAUGCCUGCGAGUAUUUGGGUGGAAAACCCGAGUGCGUAAUGAAAGUGAAAGUUGAGAUCCCUGUCAUGGGGAGCAUCGACGCCCGGACCAGACCUUUUGUGACGGAUCUGCGGUAGAGCAUGUAUGUUGGGACCCGAAAGAUGGUGAACUAUGCCUGAAUAGGGUGAAGCCAGAGGAAACUCUGGUGGAGGCUCGUAGCGAUUCUGACGUGCAAAUCGAUCGUCAAAUUUGGGUAUAGGGGCGAAAGACUAAUCGAACCAUCUAGUAGCUGGUCCUG